rnacentral:sRNA from 1 species
UAAUCAUUGAGUUAUAAUUGCAAAGUAAUAUUAUUCUACAUUAGGUAGCAUUGGGUAGUGUUGUUAUUUCAGUUAUAUGACAGAAAAGGGCCUUGACAGCCUGUGUUCUCCCCUUUCCACCAUUUAAAAUGCUAAUGAUCAUGCCACUGGCCUCUCAUCCAGUCAAUGAAAAGUCAGACUAUUGCUCUAUGGCAUGAGUAGCCCAGUGUUUUCAUUUAUUUGUUGUUCUAUUCCUGUGUUCUUGUUUAUCUUCAUUUCAUUUUUGUUUUCAGUUGACAUGUGGUCAGUAGGGUGCAUCAUGGGAGAAAUGAUAAAAGGUGCAGUGCUGUUUCCUGGCACUGAUCAUAUUGACCAGUGGAAUAAGGUAAUUGAACAACUAGGAACACCAUGUCCAGAAUUCAUGAAGAAAUUGCAACCCACAGUAAGAAACUAUGUGGAGAAUCGGCCCAAGUAUGCAGGACUCACCUUCCCCAAGC